rnacentral:lncRNA from 1 species
AUGGCAUCAAUGUCAGCAUCAGGUUCAUGGAGUGGUAAGGAAAACAAAGCAUUUGAAAGGGCAUUAGCUGUUUUUGAUAAGGACACAGCUGAUCGUUGGUCGAAUGUUGCUAAAGCUGUUGGUGGAGGGAAGACUGCCGAAGAUGUUAAGAGACACUAUGAACUUCUUCUUAGGGACAUUAGGCACAUUGAAUCUGGUCAAGUUCCAUUCCCAAAUUACGACAACAAUGCUGACCAGAAAAGGUUUAGAAACAUGAAGCUCCAGUGA